UACGUAGGGUGCAAGCGUUAAUUGGAAUUACUGGGCGUAAAGCGUGCGCAGGCGGCUUUGCAAGACAGAUGUGAAAUCCCCGGGCUUAACCUGGGAACUGCAUUUGUGACUGCAUGGCUGGAGUGCGGCAGAGGGGGAUGGAAUUCCUGGUGUAGCGGUGAAAUGCGCAGAUAUCAGGAGGAACACCCGUGGCGAAAGCGGCUCUCUGGGACGGUACUGACGCUGAGACGCGAAAGCGUGGGGAGCAAACAGG
rnacentral:rRNA from 1 species